UGUGACGUUUGCACUUACCAGGACGUCCUGGAUUACCUCAACCUGACCACAGGUAACAAUGUUUUCAAAUUGACCCGUCCCGUUCUGGACCACAGACACGCCACCGUGGUGAAGCUGAACAUCAUCCUCUUUGCCAUUCUGGGGGUGGUUGAGAAAACCCAAACUUUUGUUCCCUUUGUCUGGUCCUCAACGAGGUGGAACAACGAACGCAUCUCAUGGAAUCCGGAUAAGUUUUGUGGAAUCUCUCAUGUUUCAGUUCCCAAAAGUCUUCUCUGGAAACCAGA